rnacentral:lncRNA from 1 species
GUCUCCCUAUGUUUCCCAGGCUGGCCUCGAACUCCUGACCUCAAGUGAUCCUCCCACCUCAGCCUCCCAGAGUGCUGGGAUUAAAGACGUGAGCCACGGCACCUGGCCUGAAUUUUCCUCAAAUUCAAAAAAUGCUGAUGAAGGUUUGGCUAAAAUCUUUGGUGAGUUACCCCACUCCCUGUGGAACCUCAGGCUGGAUUUGAAGAGUUGCGUGCAUGGUCCUCAUUGUCUCCCAGGUAACCUGUUCCCGCUGCUGUGAAGGGAAGGCAGGUGCUCUUCCUUGAGGCUAGAAUCUGUCUACGUGUCACAGUCUCAGGAAAUUAAGCAAAACAGAUGAUAAACACCUCAAAAGGACCCUACUGAGCAUGAGUGGAGCAGACCAGGGCCAUAUGGGACUGCGGCGUCAGAUGCCACCUCACACUAGCUGUGACACACCUGCCUCGCCAGUUUCUGCUCUGAGGCCCCAAAGCCAAGCUGAACCUCCUCCAGGGGUUCUCAGCCCUAACUGAGCAUGAGAACCCCUGGGGCAAUCCUCUUUUUAACAAUUGAGACAUUCCACACACACCCCACAUCAGAUUUUGGGGUGUGGGGAUAGACCUUCACAUUUGUAGUUUUCUAACCCUCCAGGGGACACUAGGCUGAGACUCAUUGGUCUCCACUCUGAACCUUCCAUUGAACAUGUGAGAAAAACUAAGGCCCAGGGAAGUCUUUAGCAGAGAGCUGAGACGGAGAAAAGGGUUCUGAACCACAGCUGUCUGCUGAAGGAAGCUGUCCAAAGGCCAGUGAAGUCUCUCCUGAGGGUGCCUGGGCUGUGCAUCAGGAGUGAAGGUUGAGGGUCACCUUAGGUGUGAGAAGGAGCAACUGGGAGAGUGGCGCUGAUGCUUCCCCCCGGGUUAGGAGGCAUUUGGAUCACAGAGCGAUGCCUGUUCAUUCCUGCUUGCAAGGGAGCAGAUCUCUCGACACCCGAUGGGCCUCUAUUCCGUUCCGGCAGCUGUCGGUGUCAGGAGCGCUGGGCUUGCUCCUCCCCACGGGAGCCAUCACAGAGGCCUCGGGCAGUCUGCAUAGACAACUGCCUGGCAGGUGACCAGGAGGGGAUGCAUGAGUAGAUGCAGGUAGCACUCGCAGUCCCCCUAGCUGUGCCCUCAGCACCUGCUGUCUAGGAGGCAGAAGCCUUGUUCUCGGCCUUGCAGGUGACCCCAGUGUCUCUGAAUUCGGCCCCAUAUGUGUAGGAGGGGAGUGAUUGCAUCUGAAGAUGGGAGUCCGGUUGGGGGUUUGGGAAGCUCCCAUCACCCCUCAAGAGUCCACUGACCAGCCCAGCUCACACCAGGUGGGCCUUGGCAUUGGAGGCCACGGCUCAACUCUGCAGUUCCCUCUGGGCAGCAUUUCCAGGGACUCGUAGGUCAGCACGGUCAUCAAGGACGGGUGGUGAGAGCAGCUCCUCAUUGUCCUGGUGACCCCGAUGGUUCAUUUUCUGGUGUCUCUGUGGUGAGCUCCUGUUACAUCAAGCGAGUGGAAACCACCGAGGACCAACAGCCCUGGAAAUGCACUGAGAAUGCAGGAUGAGUGGGGUUUGUGAGGACUGUUUUCUGUGACUUAGCAAGGAAAGCCUGGAAGGGAAAGUAAAACUGCUUCUUCCCAGGGAAGCCAGAAACCUAAGAACUUAAAAGGGAAGGAGAACUUAAUAUAUUUCAAAAAUGUAACCCUUGUGAAUUAGCAACAGCUUUAUAAACAAAGAGAUUUCCGAGCUUAUAGAAUCUAUUCUGCUUUGUUUCUGCCCCCAUGGCUCCUACCCCUGUUUUUGUGGGUGCAAUUUUCAGAUAGAACAUUUUUACACAAGCUUCAAAACUCUCUGAGGACAGCUUUCCCCUUUGCGUCUGUCGGGUCCCAGGCAGUCACAUCCCAGGAAGUGCUGGGGUUGGGCUCCUUGCUCCACAUCCUUCUUCAGUGGCACGAAGCGUGGGGUGGAGUGUGUGAGUCAUGUGUGAUCUUGGUGUGGGCUAUGGCUGGUCUGCAGCACCCCUUCAAUGACUGCUUCAAGGGCUUUUCAUGAUGCUUGUAGCUCAUGAGCUAGUGUUUCCUAGACGCUGUUUCCAGGUGUCUUGCAUGUCACACACUGGCCUACCAGGGCUGGAGUGAGAUCAUGAGCGCCAGAUUGUUGGUGAAGGAAGUUGACAGAGACAUCGAAUGUCGGUGAACAGGAGUGACCUUGGGUCUCAAUAAAUACUGUGGUCUACUGAAUCCAGAACCCACCCUUACCAGCAGGGCCCACUUCUUCCCCAGCAGGCCGAGCUCUUCCCCUCCUGUCUUCCCUGGCCCUUGCUUUGUAGCUCUGUGUGGCUGUGUCAUGUCUGGUUGUAUCUGUGUAUACUUCUGCCUCUCCCGCUAUCUAGAUGGCUCGGGGAGGCACACCACACACCAGGUCACCUUCCUCUCUGAACCCCCAGCACCUCAUACUGUUUCUGUGCAGAGAUAAGGCUGGGUGAAAGCUUGUGUGAAUGAUCUGAAGUCUUCUACUCUAGGCCAGUCUCCAGGAGCAUUAUGAUCUUUAGGAGGGUGGGCUUGGUUCCUCUGUACAAUAAUGGGUCAUAAAACUGAGUGGUCAAGAUCAUCCCGGUGAGGGCAGUCCGUGUGUUGCCAUAGUUGCUGUACCGGUUAAGAAUGCACCUGGCUGCAAUUUCCUGAAAACCUGACGUAUAGUGGCUUAAACAAAGAGUGGUUUAUUUUCCUUCUGUCAUAGCAAUCUGGGGGAGGCCACUGUGGCUUUGGCGCAGGAGGUCGGGAAAGGCCCGCUUCUCUGAUAUCACUGGGGGCCUCCCCAGUGCUUGUGUGGCAGAAUGACAAGAGGAAGAAGAAGGAGAAUUAUGGCACUGAGUAUCAUGAGAUUUGGGGUCAUAUAUCUUUAGUGGGCGGUGUUUGCUGCCCCAAAUGUCUCAUGCCAUUAAAAUGUUCUGGAAAUGAUUUAGGUAGUUGGAGUUUCCUUCCCAAAGACAAGGCAUUUACAGCAUGAUGUCCAAUAUCCAUUGAGUUUGUGUCAUGCAUUCAUUGUAUUCAUAGUCUGCUUUAGGUACUUAGCAAAAUAUUGCUGAUAUUAACAUGCCUUUGUUUGCUUCACUGGAGAUGAAAUUGUGCUCCAAGUGUUUUCCAAGGUUCCGUAUGACCCAUCAUUUGAUGAAACAAGAACAGCAGUCAGAUCCAUUACAAAGAGAGACACACAAAAAAACUAUGUGAAAAUGAGCUUAGCCCCUGGUGUUGUGUUGGAACUUCAGAUGCUUGCAGACACUUCAUGAAUGCUCUGUGACACUCAGAAUAGGCUCUUCCCAACAAAAGAGCUUGAACAAUGCUGCAUUUGCCUCAGGUUCAAAUGAGCGAGAGGAACAUUUGGCUAAAAUAUUUGGAACCAGCGUUGCUUGGAAUUCUCCUAAACCAGAAUAUUUCCUUGGCAGUGUGGACAAAAUUCCUGAUAAAGAUCACCUUUCAGAGGAGAAGAAUUUUAAAGAAUCCUGUCUGUUCCACAGGGAUUUAAGAGAGCAGUUAACUACUGUAGAUAAAGAAACACUUCAAGGAGCAGCUAAACCAGAUGCUCACUUUAGGACUAUGCCCUGCGGGCAGCUUCUGCACUUCCUGCAGAAAAACACCAUCAUCGCCACCGUCUCAGGGGUGGCCAUCCUCAUGGCCAUCGUGCUGUUGCUGCUUGGGUUGGCCUCAUACAUCAGGAAGAAACAGCCAUCGUGAGUGGUGCUGGCAUAACCUUCCUUCCAAGAACCCGCGGGUGUUAGAACUCACGCUGCCCUCAGGGCUUCCUGCUGGUCUGGUUUAUGAGGAGGGCAGAAGCUGCAAGCCUGGUUGUGCUUCAGCAUCCCCUGGCCUGCUCUGUCAAAGCACACAGGACCUGGGCCAUGGGUUUUAGGCACAGCCUGGGUGAUUCUGAUGCACACCCGGGUUUGGGGAUCCCUGGGUGGGCCAGGGUUGCCUCUCAAGGCCACUACGGUUAGGCCAGACCUGUCCCCAUAUUGAGGGCUCUGGCUGAAAGAUUGGUAAAUAGGAAUAUGGAUUUACAAAAGAAAGGAAAAAUACAAAUCUAAUAGGGUGAGGAGGGCUGAAGCCACGAAGGAGAGUGAGAGCAGGGCUGAUAUUCAGCUCCUUCACAUUGGCACAGCUGCCCUGCUUGUUAGAACACUGAAAGCCUUCCCUGAGCUUCCCACUGACCUCCUGAUCUUCUCCGUGAUCCUGCAAAUGAAGGAUUAGUGCCUGGCACAGCCGUGGCCCUCCAAGGCUCUGCUUCAGUGGUGGUCAUUUUGACUGGUCAGUGCCUGUCUACACCAGUUGUUAAAUAUUUUGGUUAGGCCUCUAGAUGAGGGGGCUCAGGCACAGAGGCACUCACCAUGAGCAGGCGCUAGGAAGCAAAUGGUUUGCACGAUGACAUGUAUGCAUAGCUGCAUUUUGAAAUUACGUGCUUCUUGCUGCGUCCCCAGGGACAUGUAUUCUUGACCGCAGAAGGAAGAGCAGCUCCCCACAUCCCCUCAGUCCUGCCUGACACUGCACUGAAUGCUCAGCUUGC